UAUGAAAAAUGAAUCUAUGAGCUCUUAUUUAAUUUAGCUUUUCGUGUUUUCAUUAGCCAAUUUUGAAACUGUUGUUGAAAGGAGUUUGGGAUGACUGUUUUGUCCAUAUGCCCAUAUCAGCAGAAUUGGUUUGGUGUCUCUUGGAGACUGUCAAGGGUCAGUUUGCCUCUGUGCCACAACAAAUAAUCUGUUGUAUGAUCCAGUCUCUAAUAUGAAAUCAACUUUGCCACCUCAUCCUGUUUUGAAUGAUGGUUGCUUCAGAAGUAAUAGUGUUGUUCUCUUAUAGAGAGGAGAUUGUUUUAAACUGUUGGUUAAACCAGAAUGAACAUUAUUUAUUUCUCAGAAAUUCCUAAGGAGACUUAAGAGCUUGCAGUGUAAAAACACUUCGUUUCAAAUAACAUUCUGGUAAAUGACAAUACUGGAGUUCUGUGGCUUGGGAGGGAAAUGGGACACUAAUCCACACUGAGCAUUAAAUAAAUUCUUACCUGAUGCUCCUGUGAUA